rnacentral:piRNA from 1 species
UGUUUAUUUAAGAAGUCGGGCCUAUGC